CGGCGUGUAGCGCAGUUUGGUAGCGCACUUGCUUCGGGAGCAAGGGGUCGGAGGUUCAAAUCCUCUCACGCCGACAA
rnacentral:tRNA from 1 species